CAGUUUAUGCCUCUUAUUUGCUGACUUUACAUGGUGACAGAAGUGGGAUCCCUAGCUACUGACCUUCAAUUCUGGUGCCACUUCACAGACACAAGCAAGGUGCCUGCAAAGAAUCUUUUGUGCUCUGUCGUCUCCUCCUGGUGGCUCUGGUUCCUGGUGAUUGGUUGCAGACAAUGAUACAGGCAUCAGGAAUGGUGGAGCCAAGAGACGGGAAUUCAUGGGUGACUGACACACCCUGUGGAAGAGAACCACCUGCCCAACACGAAACCCACCUUGGCCUGCAAGGAAGAAGAAAGGAGAUGACCUUCUCUCUAAAAACUCUUAAUCAAUACCAAAGGCAAGGACUUAAAUCUGCAUUUUAUUGUGCUAGUCUGGUAACCUCCUGUAACUGACUUUCCUCCCCCUCCCAACGUUGGCAUUUCUUAAGGAUUAAGCAUCUUUCCUUAGGCUAGGAACUGAUUGCUGAGCUCACCUGUGACCGCCCAGCUCCAGACAAUCGACUUGAGUCCUGCUAUGCCCACUGAGAUAGCAGACCCACUACCUGCUGUGUCCAUCAAGUGCCGACAGGGCAAUCUUGUGACUAUUGUGGGAGGGACAUUUCAAUCACAUGUGAAACACCCCAUUUGGCGGUAUAUAACCACUAUGUGCACCCCACUUCUUUGGUGCCCUUUCUUCCUUCGGGAAGAAAGGCACCGGGCCACGGUUCCUCAUAAAGCUUUGUUUAAUUUUCUCUUGCUUUUCUGUCUCAUGUGAAUUUAAUUCGUUCUCCAGCCAGACGAACCCACAUUUGGGAAGAGGAAAUGUCUUCCUCCCCUACAUAUGUUUUCAUCAGUCAGAUAGUCCAUGUUGUGCUGUAUUCACAACAAACUCCUAAGUCUCAGCUAAAAAUAACCAAGGUUUAUUUCUCGAACAUGCUCCAUGUCAUCAGGAGCUGGCUCUGUAUUAUCCUUGCUCAGUCUGGAGGAUUGAGUAGAUGGCAGCUAAAAGAUGCUCGAUCCAACUUCUUGCACAACUGCCAGGCAGGAAAAACACACUCCUACUGUUUGCCAAAGGUUUGUCUGGAAGAGACAGCCUCAUUUUUGCUCAAGUUUCAUUUGCCAAAGGCUCACAAAGUCACAUUUGACUUUAAGGGGCCAAGAAGAUACAUCCCUUCUGUGUGCCAGAGAAGAGCCGACAAUAUUUGGUGAACGGCAGUAAUAAUAACUAUACACUGUGCUCUAUUGUGUCUUCCAAAGCUUAUUUUUGCUUUUUGUUUGUUGAUUUUUUCAAAAAUUCCCUUCAGUUAUGUGAGUUACCGUAAAUCCUUCUAGUCAAUUUCUUUAAUAAGAAAACUGAAGUUAGCCAGAGUUAGCUUCUUUUGCUUAAAAAAAAAAAAACGGUCUAACGCAUUAGACUUUGCGUUAUAAAUG
rnacentral:lncRNA from 1 species